AGGACAUGCAAAUAGGGCCUCCCCUCUGCUGAUUUAACCAGCACAGCCAAGAUCCUGCAGUUGGGAGAGGAGCCCCAGGCCCGGGAUACCCAGGUGUUCACUCAGUGAUCAGGACAGAAUACAAACAGCUCACCAUGGAAUUUGUGCUGGGCUGGGUUUUCCUUCUUGCUCUUUUAAAAGGUGUCCAGUGUGAGGUGCAGCUGGUGGAGUCUGGGGGUGACCUGGUGAAGCCUGGGGGGUCCCUGAGACUCUCCUGUGCAGCCUCUGGAUUCACUUUCAGCAACUACUACAUGGAAUGGGUCUGCCAGGCUCCAGGGAAGGGGCUGCAGUGGGUCGCAGGUAUUAGCAGUGAUGGAAGUAGCACAAGCUAUGCAGACUCUGUGAAGGGCCGAUUCACCAUCUCUAGAGACAAUAGCAAGAACACACUGUAUCUGCAGAUGAACAGCCUGAGAACUGAGGACACGGCCAUGUAUUACUGUGCAAGAGACACAGUGAGGGGCCCUCAGCAGCUGAUGAUCACACCCUCUCUUUGUGAGUCCUAUGCUGUGGAGCAUGGGACUCUCCUCCUGGAUCCACUGGAAUACAGGCUGCUUGGGUAG